UACGUAGGGGGCGAGCGUUGUCCGGAUUUACUGGGCGUAAAGCGCGCGCAGGCGGUCGGCUAAGUGCCGGGUGAAAGCCCCCCGCUCAACGGGGGGAGGGCCGGGCAGACUGGCCGACUGGAGGCAGGCAGAGGCCGGUGGAAUUCCCGGUGUAGUGGUGAAAUGCGUAGAGAUCGGGAGGAACACCCGUGGCGAAAGCGGCCGGCUGGGCCUGACCUGACGCUGAGGCGCGAAAGCGUGGGGAGCGAAC
rnacentral:rRNA from 1 species